AUUGAACGCUGGCGGCAGGCCUAACACAUGCAAGUCGAGCGAGCGGCGGACGGGUGAGUAAUGUAUGGGAAACUGCCUGCUGGAGGGGGAUAACUACUGGAAACGGUAGCUAAUACAGCAUACCAUCAGAUGUGCCCAGAUGGGAUUAGCUAGUAGGUGGGGUAACGGCUCACCUUGGCGACGGUCCCUAGCUGGUCUGAGAGGAUGACCAGCCAAACUGGAACUGAGACACGGGCCAGACGCCUACGGGAGGCAGCAGUGGGGAAUAUUGCACAAUGGGCGCAAGCCUGAUGCAGCCAUGCCGCGGGUAUGAAGAAGUCCUUCGGGUUGUAAAGUACUUUGAGCGGGGAGGCGUUACCCGCAGAAGAAGCACCGGCUAACUCCGUGCCAGCAGCCGCGGUAAUUC
rnacentral:rRNA from 1 species